ACGUCACUAGCCAGGCCCACUUUUGGGCAUGGCUAGGGGGCGUUACGGGGGAAGGCAUAAAAGACAGCACACAGGAAGUCUCGGUCUCUUUUCCUGGAGUUCGGUUCCGGUCCGACAGCUGAAAACUGCUCGGCUCCUCUGGGUUUGGUAUCUUCUUAAGGAGCUUCUCACUCUGUGCUGGCGGCAGAGGUCAACUGAGCAGCGGGGCAAAGCCGGGAGCUGCAUCCCCACCCACCCACGCCAUGCUGUUUUCUGUCUGACCGCGCUACUAUGCGGGUCUAGGAAAGGUGGCAUCUGAUAACAGAGUUUCGGUUCUGCCUGGUCCCAAAGCGCUACCGGCUGAGCUAUCGGGACUGCAGGAAUGAAAAUGAUGGAAUUGGAGUUUAAGAAUAGAAACAAAAGAACUUGAGUUUGGAUGGUGUGUCGGAUACUUUUACGUCACGAUGACACAAGCUGAAAGUAUCUGAUGGAGGGCCUCCGUUAAGAAAACGCCUCCUUAAGACUGGGAUCUUUAUUGCUAGAAGAUAAUUUGGUCAUUGCAAAAUAAUCAACAUGGAGCCUGCAGCAGAGGACAAUCUCUUGAGUGCUGAACCCAAUAAUCAACAUGGAGCCUGCAGCAGAGGACAAUCUCUUGAGUGCUGAACCCUUCUCUUUGUCAUGCUCAGGUGCUCAGGGCCACAAGAGCACUGAUUUUACCACUACCGUGAACUUCAAAUUACAGGACUCAGGCCGCCCAUAAGUGCAAAGCAAUUUAGCGGUGGAGCCAGGACAGCGGCCUGACCUUUCCUCCUCACCAUUCCCUUCUCUUUUCAGUUAAUUUGCUCCAUUCUUUUACCACAGAUUACAAAACUGAAAUGAAGAAACUCAGCACCAAAGCCUAAAGCCAGAGGCCGCAUUUGCAUUGCACAAUUGCCUUGUUGUGGAAAGACAGCUUGCUAUGUGCACAUCGUGUUUGACACAACUUCUGGGUGAAGCAAAGCCGCAUCCGAGUCUCGGCUUCACAGCAUAUGGAUAUUUUCUCGCCGGUGAUUUAAAAGUGAUUUGUGACCGACUGCAGGAAGCCGAUCAGCGGACACCUGACUAGCCUGUGACUCUCAGCUGGAGCCGCUGGGCGGGAUAAUUUUAAUGAACAAAGACAUGAAAGGGAACUUUCUGGAACCAGAGUCCUGGAAAGGAAGCUCACAGUUGUCAGAGUUGGGAGUGUAAGUCCUCAAUCUUCCAGCCUGAGGUAGGGCAGCAGGCAGCCUCUGAGGUAACCUGGUUCAGUGGAAGCAUGUGACUUCCCCAUUUGCAAAGCGGAGUUACUGCUUAACCCUUAACCACGCUCGGCCCUUUUGUCAGCCCACGCCUCCAUUAGAUGUUCACAUUUAGUACAGCAGCACUGAAUGAGCCCAGAUUCCCAACUCCUCCAUAAAGAAGAAGGGAGGGGACUGUGGCACAAACUGUUGUGGAAUGCUCUUCUGGGGGCAUGACAUGAACACUGCCAUCUUGAAAUCAGAACAUCUGUGAUGACAGCUGUCACUAGACUACUGGGACUGAUGAGUCCCUCAUGGAGAGGGGAGAGGGACCAGAAAGGGACACAUGGGGCCUCAGUCCCCCCCCCAGGAUCUAGAGGCCUCAUCCCUCCCCAGGAUCUAUAAGCCUAUAAGCAGCUAACAUUUUCAAGCAGCCCUCUUUGGUAGCAUAAAAGGAAUCACAGUUAAAAUCGCCAAUUUUAAGUUCAACUUGAGUGGAGUUGUUUCUUAUAUGUCUCAGAUGUCCUAGUGGAUUCAGAGAUGUUUGUCCAGAUCGCCCCAGGUAAUUUUUGGUUAAGAGUUGGUCUCCCACUAUAGUUCAAGCCUGGAAUUCACUCUGAAGUCCAGGCUGGGCUGUAACAAUCCCCCUAACAGAGCCUGUCAAAUACAUCAUUAUUUUAUAAUUCUACUACUAAUCUGAUGAGCGUCUGGCCUACAUUUAAAAUGGAGAAA